UUACGAUAGCUGUUUAUUUUACAUAACAAAUCCUUUUGUGGAAAACCACGGUUUUUCUUCGGAAAACGAGAAGAAAUUCGCUUUACUUGGAUGGAAACAAACGAGCACAGCCUGUUCUUAAGGAUUCGAAAGAUCAACAAAUAUCUACAAUAUUAAAGAUGACCUUUCAAUGGAUCUCACAGACAGGAAAUGUUUAAAGAGCAAGAUAAGAAAAUGAAUCAACAACAAUAACCAGACCUAAAGAAGUAAAGAAAACGAAGGAGAAGGCACACAAAAUUAUAUGCAAGAAAAAUCACCGGAGCAAGAUAUAGCAUUUUUGGUCUGUUUCUAAUUACUAAUAAACAGUUACCAAUGAAAACAAUUAUAAUAUUA